rnacentral:misc_RNA from 1 species
GAUGAAGAACGCAGCGAAAUGCGAUAAGUAAUGUGAAUUGCAGAAUUCAGUGAAUCAUCGAAUCUUUGAACGCACAUUGCGCCCGCCAGUAUUCUGGCGGGCAUGCCUGUUCGAGCGUCAUUUCAACCAUCAAGCCCCCGGCUUGUGUUGGGGACCUGCGGCUGCCGCAGGCCCUGAAAACCAGUGGCGGGCUCGCUAGUCACUCCGAGCGUAGUAAUACAUCUCGCUCAGGGCGUGCUGCGGGUUCCGGCCGUUAAAAGCCUUAUUUACCCAAGGUUGACCUCGGAUCAGGUAGGAAGACCCGCUGAACUUAAGCAUAUCAAUAAGCGGAGGGA